AUCGACAGCCACACCACCCUGAACAUAUCCGAUCUUGUCUCAUCUCAUGAAGCUAAGCAGGGUCGGGCCCAGUUAGCACUUGGAUGGGAGAAUAGAGAAAUCCCUGGACUUUGACAACA
rnacentral:rRNA from 1 species